rnacentral:rRNA from 1 species
AUUGAACGCUGGCGGCAUGCUUUACACAUGCAAGUCGAACGGCAGCGCGGGCUUCGGCCUGGCGGCGAGUGGCGAACGGGUGAGUAAUACAUCGGAACGUGCCCAGUAGUGGGGGAUAGCUCGGCGAAAGCCGGAUUAAUACCGCAUACGACCUGAGGGUGAAAGCGGGGGAUCUUCGGACCUCGCGCUAUUGGAGCGGCCGAUGGCAGAUUAGCUAGUUGGUGGGGUAAAGGCCUACCAAGGCGACGAUCUGUAGCUGGUCUGAGAGGACGACCAGCCACACUGGGACUGAGACACGGCCCAGACUCCGACGGGAGGCAGCAGUGGGGAAUUUUGGACAAUGGGCGAAAGCCUGAUCCAGCAAUGCCGCGUGUGUGAUGAAGGCCUUCGGGUUGUAAAGCACUUUUGGCGGGAACGAAAAGGACUGUGCCAAUACCACGGUUCGAUGACGGUACCCGCAGAAUAAGCACCGGCUAACUACGUG